rnacentral:lncRNA from 1 species
AUGAAAAUAACGGGUCUUUUAAACGGUGGGGUGGCGGGGGUGGGGAGAAUUACCCAGAGCCCAAAGUUGGAGGCCUUUUUUUUUUUCUUUUUUAAUUGGGAUAUUUCAUUAGAGAACGUGGCUGGUUCUGUUGGAUUUGCGUGCCUUGGUCACCUUCCUCACCUGUCCCCGGGAGCAGUCCGAGUUGGAGCCUCCAAGCAAAAGAUCUCCGGUUCUGCUGUCCACUCUUGGCCUCCAUCCUGCUCCCCGGCAUCUCCCUGCUCUCCGGAGCUGACCGGACUCCUUCCGUUCGGCUGCCCGGUCCAGGCCAGAGGCCAACAGCGUCGAUAUUUCAGGAGGAGCCGAGAGAAUCAGAGUGCCUCAGUGAUGGCUCCCUUCAUUUCCGAGAACGGCUAGUCCAGUUGCGAGACUUCUCCGUAGUGCUCGUGUUAUGUGAGGCGGUGCUUGCUGCUGCUCCUCCAUCUUGGAGACCGACCGCUCACUGAUGGGAUCCAAGCUGUCGG